UACGUAGGGUGCAAGCGUUGUCCGGAAUUAUUGGGCGUAAAGAGCUCGUAGGCGGUUUGUCGCGUCUGCUGUGAAAACUCAGGGCUUAACCCUGAGCCUGCAGUGGGUACGGGCAGACUAGAGUGUGGUAGGGGAGAUCGGAAUUCCUGGUGUAGCGGUGGAAUGCGCAGAUAUCAGGAGGAACACCGGUGGCGAAGGCGGAUCUCUGGGCCAUAACUGACGCUGAGGCGCGAAGGCCAGGGGAGCAAACGGG
rnacentral:rRNA from 1 species